CCGGGCCAGCUCCCCGGGGCGGCGGCGUCGGGGCGGCUGGCGGCUCGCCGGGGCCGGAGCCGGAGCCGGGGCCGGGGCGGCAUGGUGGCUUCAGCGCGGCGGGCAUGGCAUGGCCGCUCCCCCUGCCGCGCCGCCGGCCGCCCGCUGCCGCCUUCCUCCUGCCCGCGCCGCUGUCGCUGCUUCUGCUGCCCACGGGAGUCGGACGCGACGGGACGGGACGCGCCGAGGCCGCUGCAGUCGCUCGCUGUCGCCGCCGCCGCCGCUUCUCCCGCUGCUGCCUCGCCCGCCGGCCCGGCCCGCCUCCGCCUCCUGGCCGCCUCCGCCUCCUCCCCCAAGCCCGUCGGGGCGCGCCGCCAGCAUUCCUCCAGCGCUCGCCGCGCCAGGAAGGCAGGCCUGGCCAGGAGGACGGCUCUACGGGCGCCCCAGCCGGCCGGGCGGCCCCUCAGCCCGCCACGCAGUCCUCCGCGGCUCGGCUGCCCUGGCCCGGGCGGGCGACGGGCGUCCCGUGCAGCCGACGUCCCGCCGACAGAUGUUCGCGCCAGGCCCCGGGAACCGGAGCGGCCGUUUGGGGCUCCUCCAAGCUGGGGAGCGGAGGCUGGUGGCGGGCGGCUGGCACAAACGCGGUAGCGCCGAGCGUCGUCGCUGCCCGUGGGCGAGCGUGGCUCUUCGCCAGCAGGGACCCCGUCCCCGCCGUCACUGGUAGCACUAGAGCGUUUGGCUUGGCUUCCCCCGAACUCGCGGUCUAUUGCUGCGGUCAGCUGCAUUGGGGGGGGGGGCUUCUCAGCCUGGCUGAGCCCCCGCCCAGCACCGCCACAGGAGAGCCCUGGGCUGUGUGUCCUCAGCCAUGGAGAUGGCACCCCCGGGCCCCCACGUUGCCCCAGGCUCUCGCCCACCCCUUCUGCACCUCCCACCUUGCGCCUUCCACAUGGGUGGUGGGCUGCCUUUGGAGCCAGAGAGGGAAGGGGGGGCGAGGGUGUGCCGUGGGCUAUAACCCCCGCACCUCUAGCAUCGGGGCGGAAGCACGCGCUGCACCCACAGGCCUUUGCGCUGGCUCUUGGCGUGGGAGCAGAUGUGGGACCCUGGUGGGCAGACGCAGUUCCGCUGGCUAUGGCUGCCGCCUGGCAACAAGGGAGUGCUGCUCUGAGGGACUCUUGCCCAGGCCCUUUUCAGCCUGCCGGAAACGCAGCCGGAAGCUGCCCGUUUUCGGUGUGGGCAGGAACUGUGCUCCUGAACUGCUCCUCGCUCUCCUCCCCCCGAGCAUCGGUGCUUGCAGGGAGCGAGGCGGCGCCCCAGACCCCACCGUGGGAGCACAAGAUUGUGGCUGAUGGGAAAGGUGCCC
rnacentral:lncRNA from 1 species